rnacentral:lncRNA from 1 species
AACUUCAGUGUUAGUCACAAUGGAUGAAAAUGUCAAUGACUUUCUGAUUCUUCCCAAAGGCACCCUGGUACAAUUUUAUUUCAUUCAUUUUGUCCUUUUUAAAACUAGACAAUUACAACAUUGAGUGCUUGAAAUUUUAAGCCUGUCACACGCUCUUAUAAAGCCAAACACUGGUUAGAAAGGUUUUAGAUAAUGUCAAACAUUGGCUAGAAGAGUUUUCUUCUACUGAAUUAAAUUUGUUAAAACGUGAUUUU